UCUCACNGCCAUGGCCCAGGUGAGACGCCCGGUCCCAUUCCGAACCCGGAAGCUAAGGCCUGGCACGGCGAUGGUACUGCACCCGACAGGGUGUGGGAGAGUAGCACGCCGCCGCAU
rnacentral:rRNA from 1 species